rnacentral:tRNA from 1 species
CGCGCGCCUCCAGCGCGACCGCGGUCGCUUCGGACGCCCGCGGGUAGGUCGACGUCACCGGCACGGGCGGAUCGUCCUCCGUCGCCGCGCGCCC